rnacentral:rRNA from 1 species
UACAGGGGGGGCAAGCGUUGUUCGGAUUUACUGGGCGUAAAGGGCGCGUAUGCGGCCAGCACAAGUCAGUUGUGAAAUCUCCGAGCUUAACUCGGAAAGGUCAACUGAUACUGUGCGGCUAGAGUGCGGAAGGGGCAACUGGAAUUCUUGGUGUAGCGGUGAAAUGCGUAGAUAUCAAGAGGAACACCUGCGGCGAAGGCGGGUUGCUGGGCCGACACUGACGCUGAGGCGCGAAAGCCAGGGGAGCGAACGGG